GAGAGGUGCUGCGUGGCUGUCGUCAGCUCGUGUUGUGAAAUGUUGGGUUAAGUCUCGCAACGAGCGCAACCCCUAUCGUCUGUUGCCAGCAUUAAGUUGGGCACUCUGACGAGACUGCCUGGGUUAACCAGGAGGAAGGUGGGGAUGACGUCAAGUCCUCAUGGCCCUUAUGACUAGGGCUACACACGUAAUACAAUGGCGCGUACAAAGGGAAGCGAACUCGCAAGGGGGAGCGAAUCUCAAAAAGCGCGCCUCAGUUCGGAUUGAAGUCUGCAACUCGACUUCAUGAAGUUGGAAUCGCUAGUA
rnacentral:rRNA from 1 species